rnacentral:rRNA from 1 species
GACGAAUGCUGGCUGCGUGCUUAACACAUGCAAGUCGAACGGUGAAGGAGGGCUUGCCCUCCGGAUCAGUGGCGAACGGGUGAGUAACACGUGGGCAACCUGCCCCUCACUCUGGGAUAACGCCGGGAAACCGGCGCUAAUACCGGAUACGACCAGGCGCGACAUCUCGCCUGGUGGCAAGAAUUUCGGUGAGGGAUGGGCCCGCGGCCUAUCAGCUAGUUGGUGGGGUAACGGCCCACCAAGGCGACGACGGGUAGCCGGCCUGAGAGGGCGACCGGCCACACUGGGCAUGAAACACGGGCCAGACGCCUACGGUAGGCAGCAGUUGGGAAUAUUGCGCAAUUGGCGAAAGCCUGACGCAGCGACGCAGCGUGAGGGACGAAGGCCUUCGGGUUGUAAACCUCUUUCAGCGGGGACGAAGCGAAAGUGACGGUACCCGCAGAAGAAGCACCGGCUAACUACGUGCCAGCAGCCGCCGUAAAAC